rnacentral:rRNA from 1 species
GUGGGGAAUAUUGGACAAUGGGCGCAAGCCUGAUCCAGCCAUGCCGCGUGUGUGAAGAAGGCCUUCGGGUUGUAAAGCACUUUUGUUGGGAAAGAAAUCCUGUCGGCUAAUACCCGGCGGGGAUGACGGUACCCAAAGAAUAAGCACCGGCUAACUUCGUGCCAGCAGCCGCGGUAAUACGAAGGGUGCAAGCGGUACUCGGAAUUACUGGGCGUAAAGCGUGCGUAGGUGGAUCGUUAAGUCAGAUGUGAAAGCCCCGGGCUCAACCUGGGAAUUGCAUUUGAUACUGGCGGACUAGAGUGCGGUAGAGGAGAGUGGAAUUCCCGGUGUAGCAGUGAAAUGCGUAGAGAUCGGGAGGAACAUCAGUUGCGAAGGCGGCUCUCUGGACCAGCACUGACACUGAGGCACGAAAGCGUGGGGAGCAAACAGGAUUAGAAACCCGGGUAGUCC